CUCUCCUCUCGCAGCGGGAGCGUGACGCGGCGUGGGGACAGGGACGAGGGGAUGCGCCUGCGCAGGACGUAGUCCUUCGGGUGAGGGCGGGAGCGUUGAGCUCCGCGCCAGCGGGCUGGAAGUCGUUCCCGAGAAUGGGAGGUCUGUGGCUUUCGGGCACUCCGGAGAGUGUGUCUUGGUGUGUUCCUCUGUGGGUUAAUCCUGUAUGGGACUCUCUGCACUUCCUGGACUUGGGUGACUGUUUCCUUUCCCAGGGACUUCCCUGGUGGCGCAGUGGUUAAGAAUCCGCCUGCCAAUGCAGGGGACACGGGUUUGAGCCCUGAUCCGGGAAGACCCCACAUGCUGUGGAGCAACUAAGCCCAUGCACCACAACUACUGAGCCUGUGCUCUAGAGCCUGCAAGCCACAACUACUGAGCCCACGUGCCACAACUACUGAAGCCCACGCCGCCUAGAGCCUGUGCUCUGCAAGAGAAGCCACUGCACUGAGAAGCCCGCGCACCGCAA